rnacentral:rRNA from 1 species
UACAGGCUUAACACAUGCAAGUCGAGGGGCAGCAUCAUCAAAGCUUGCUUUGAUGGAUGGCGACCGGCGCACGGGUGAGUAACACGUAUCCAACCUGCCGACAACACUGGGAUAGCCUUUCGAAAGAAAGAUUAAUACCGGAUGGCAUAGUUUUCCCGCAUGGGAUAAUUAUUAAAGAAUUUCGGUUGUCGAUGGGGAUGCGUUCCAUUAGGCAGUUGGCGGGGUAACGGCCCACCAAACCAACGAUGGAUAGGGGUUCUGAGAGGAAGGUCCCCCACAUUGGAACUGAGACACGGUCCAAACUCCUACGGGAGGCAGCAGUGAGGAAUACUGGUCAAUGGACGAGAGUCUGAACCAGCCAAGUAGCGUGAAGGAUGACUGCCCUAUGGGUUGUAAACUUCUUUUAUACGGGAAUAAAGUGAGCCACGUGUGGCUUUUUGUAUGUACCGUAUGAAUAAGGAUCGGCUAACUCCGUGCCAGCAGCCGCGGUAAUACGGAGGAUCCGAGCGUUAUCCGGAUUUAUUGGGUUUAAAGGGAGCGUAGGCGGGUUGUUAAGUCAGUUGUGAAAGUUUGCGGCUCAACCGUAAAAUUGCAGUUGAUACUGGCGACCUUGAGUGCAACAGAGGUAGGCGGAAUUCGUGGUGUAGCGGUGAAAUGCUUAGAUAUCACGAAGAACUCCGAUUGCGAAGGCAGCUUACUGGAUUGUAACUGACGCUGAUGCUCGAAAGUGUGGGUAUCAAACAGGAUUAGAUACCCUGGUAGUCCACACAGUAAACGAUGAAUACUCGCUGUUGGCGAUAUACAGUCAGCGGCCAAGCGAAAGCAUUAAGUAUUCCACCUGGGGAGUACGCCGGCAACGGUGAAACUCAAAGGAAUUGACGGGGGCCCGCACAAGCGGAGGAACAUGUGGUUUAAUUCGAUGAUACGCGAGGAACCUUACCCGGGCUUAAAUUGCAACUGACUGAACCGGAAACGGUUCUUUCUUCGGACAGUUGUGAAGGUGCUGCAUGGUUGUCGUCAGCUCGUGCCGUGAGGUGUCGGCUUAAGUGCCAUAACGAGCGCAACCCUUACGGGUAGUUACCAUCAGGUUAUGCUGGGGACUCUACCCGGACUGCCGUCGUAAGAUGUGAGGAAGGUGGGGAUGACGUCAAAUCAGCACGGCCCUUACGUCCGGGGCUACACACGUGUUACAAUGGGGGGUACAGAAGGCAGCUACACGGCGACGUGGUGCUAAUCCCGAAAGCCUCUCUCAGUUCGGAUUGGAGUCUGCAACCCGACUCCAUGAAGCUGGAUUCGCUAGUAAUCGCGCAUCAGCCACGGCGCGGUGAAUACGUUCCCGGGCCUUGUACACACCGCCCGUCAAGCCAUGGGAGCCGGGGGUACCUGAAGUGCGUAACCGCGAGGAGCGCCCUAGGGUAAAACUGGUGACUGGGGCUAAGUCAUAA